rnacentral:rRNA from 1 species
CUACGUGCCAGCAGCCGCGGUAAUACGGAAGGUCCGGGCGUUAUCCGGAUUUAUUGGGUUUAAAGGGAGCGUAGGCCGCGCCUUAAGCGUGUUGUGAAAUGCGGGUGCUCAACAUCCGACUUGCAGCGCGAACUGGGGUGCUUGAGUGCGCCGAAAGUAGGCGGAAUUCGUGGUGUAGCGGUGAAAUGCUUGGAUAUCACGAAGAACUCCGAUUGCGAAGGCAGCUUACUGUAGCGCAACUGACGCUGAUGCUCGAAAGCGUGGGUAUCGAACAGGAUUAGAUACCCUGGUAGUCCACGCGGUAAACGAUGGAUGCUCGUUGUCGGCCCUCGGGGUCGGUGACCAAGCGAAAGCGUUAAGCAUCCCACCUGGGGAGUACGCCGGCAACGGUGAAACUCAAAGGAAUUGACGGGGGCCCGCACAAGCGGAGGAACAUGUGGUUUAAUUCGAUGAUACGCGAGGAACCUUACCCGGGCUUGA